GACGAACGCUGGCGGCGUGCUUAACACAUGCAAGUCGAACGGAAAGGCCUCUUUCGGGGGGUACUCGAGUGGCGAACGGGUGAGUAACACGUGAGUAACCUGCCCUUGACUUUGGGAUAACUUCAGGAAACUGGGGCUAAUACCGGAUAGGAGCUCCUGCUGCAUGGUGGGGGUUGGAAAGUUUCGGCGGUUGGGGAUGGACUCGCGGCUUAUCAGCUUGUUGGUGGGGUAGUGGCUUACCAAGGCUUUGACGGGUAGCCGGCCUGAGAGGGUGACCGGCCACAUUGGGACUGAGGUACGGCCCAGACUCCUACGGGAGGCAGCAGUGGGGAAGAUUGAACAAUGGGUGGAAGCCUGAUGCAGCAACGCCGUGUGCGGGAUGACGGCCUUCGGGUUGGAAACCGCUUUCGCUCAUGACGAAGCUUUGUGUGACGGUAGUGGGUAAAGAAGCACCGGCUAACUACGUG
rnacentral:rRNA from 1 species